GACAAGCUCACCGAACUAAAUGAUAUUGUAAACUGCUUUAAAGGUGUGUAUAAACAGUGUUACUUUAUUGUAUUUUAAUUAACUAUUAUAAUUUAAUAAUUAAUUGAUGUCUUUUUACAGUCUUUGAAAGAUGGAGUUACAUAUGUUAUGUAUAUUAUUAGUCAGCGAACGCGGAAGGUCAAAUACCUAAUAAGUAACCCACGGCUUGAUGAUGACGAAGUUUAUUCCAAGGAUCUGGUUUAUCAUGUAAGAACAGAACCUUUAGAUGGAUCUGUUUUACACAAGGUUUUUCCAAAUUUAAGGAUCGCUGACAUUUCCCCGCCAUACAGGAUAAGAAAAAAAUAUGACAUUUCUAAUUAGGCUUUGGAGCUGUUGAGAAAUGGCAAACACAUCAAA